UACGUAGGGUGCGAGCGUUAAUCGGAAUGACUGGGCGUAAAGGGUGCGUAGGCGGUUUGCUAAGACGAAUGUGAAAUCCCUGGGCUCAACCUAGGAACAGCAUACGUGACUGGCAGGCUAGAGUAUCGAAGAGGGGGGUAGAAUUCCACGUGUAGCAGUGAAAUGCGUAGAGAUGUGGAGGAAUACCGAUGGCGAAGGCAGCCCCCUGGUCAGAUACUGACGCUGAGGCACGAAAGCGUGGGGAGCAAACAGG
rnacentral:rRNA from 1 species